AUAUUUUCUCUCUAAUUUUUCUUGUACCUUCAUUCUUUUGCAUUUUUUUCUUCUGAGCAGUAAGAAAAUAAUUAUUAGAAUUAUAUUAUUUGUAUAUCUUUCUAGUAAAAUGAGUUAAAUGGUCAUCUACAUUUUGUUUUCCAUUUGUGCAAAGAAAUAUAAAGGAUUAUUAAACUUAAACAAAUGUCAAAUUCAAAAGGAAGGGUAGAGAAACAUAAAUAUAAGGUAGUAACGGCAAUGACAUUUGUCCAGUAUUUUUCUUAUGCUUAAUAGCUUUUGGAAUUUUCAUUUAUAUAUGGGAUGAUGUUUAAUAUUUGAUUUAAAUUUAUAGAUCCCUUCUCUGUGCUUGUUUAGUUGGUGGAAAGGGAAUGAUGGACAUACACAUGUGAUAUGGUUAAAUUUAGGAAUAUUUACUGUUUUAAUUUUUCUUCAUUGUUUUUUAUCUGUAACUUAUCAAUGAAAAUUUACAUAGGGAGAUUACAGACAAUUUAAGUAAGGGUAGUGCAAUUUAUCAAGAACGAUUUUAUUACGAAACAGUCUCGAAAUUGAUGUUAGCCAAUAAAAUUUCUGUUUGGCCAGAAAUCAU
rnacentral:lncRNA from 1 species